rnacentral:lncRNA from 1 species
CUCUUCCCCACCAUGAUCUCCGUUUGGUUUCCCCUUGCCUUAUAACUAUUUAAAUACAUUUUACUAACUUCAGAUUCCUUGCUCAUUUCACUUCACCUGGCUGAGCAGGUCUGCAAGGGCUCAAGGGCUAGCUCCUCCACUUUUAUUAUUUUAUUUAUUUUUCAGUCAUUGUUUUUAUUAAAAUAACCAUGUUCAGAGGAAGAGUCCGACACACAUAAAUAAUGGGAACUGCUAAUAGUAAGCAGGCUGCUCUAAAAUGUGCUGGGGCUUUGACUUAAGGGAAGAAAGCACAGCCCUGCAUUGUCCCUAUCAGGAAGCUGGAGCACAGAAGACUUAACAGGCCUGUUGGCAGGAUGGGGCAUUUGGAGGACAUUGGGAAAGGCAGUCCGGAGACCGGCUGGAAAUAACUGUUGGGUCUUUGCCACUGAAGCAGAAAGGGAAAGGUAGAGACACUUGCAGUCUCUGUUCCUCCCAUUUUUCUUCAUGUGAGGUCUUCAUCUUCCAGUGUUUGAAGCUUUGUGGUCUGAGCUGGAAAGAGUUCACUGAGGAUCAAAAAAAUGCCGAAGGUCAGAAACAUCCUGGGACACUGCUUCUGUCAAAUCUACAUCACUGGACUAUUUCUACCUCCUCACUAAAGAUGGUCAGAAAAGAAGCCAAAUACAAGUAUGAGAGUGAGUUCUAAAAACAAGAAGCAAAAUUAUAAGACAGAGAAGGAAGUUUCCUUCAUCUGAUCUGUAAGAUGAGUCAACGUGCAGCAGCACCUUCUGGAAGAAUGGCUUUGUGCUUGUGAAUUGCAAACAGCUGGAUCUGCCUCACAAAUUCGCCUGCGUGCUCAACACCUGAAACUAAUCCUUUGGAUACUUC